rnacentral:rRNA from 1 species
GUAGGGAAUCUUCGGCAAUGGACGAAAGUCUGACCGAGCAACGCCGCGUGAGUGAAGAAGGUUUUCGGAUCGUAAAACUCUGUUGUUAGAGAAGAAUGUUGAUUAGAGUGGAAAAUUAAUCAAGUGACGGUAUCUAACCAGAAAGGGACGGCUAACUACGUGCCAGCAGCCGCGGUAAUACGUAGGUCCCGAGCGUUGUCCGGAUUUAUUGGGCGUAAAGCGAGCGCAGGUGGUUUAAUAAGUCUGAUGUAAAAGGCAGUGGCUCAACCAUUGUGUGCAUUGGAAACUGUUAGACUUGAGUGCAGUAGAGGAGAGUGGAAUUCCAUGUGUAGCGGUGAAAUGCGUAGAUAUAUGGAGGAACACCGGUGGCGAAAGCGGCUCUCUGGACUGUCACUGACACUGAGGCUCGAAAGCGUGGGUAGCAAACAGGAUUAGAAACCCGUGUAGUCC